CGCCCAUCUACAAGAAGGGCCAGAGGGUAGACCUGGGAAACUAUAGGCCUGUCAGUUUGAACUCAGUGCCAGGGAAGCUCAUGGUGCAGAUUGAGUGUCAUCACAUGGCACUUACAGGGCAAGCAGGCGAUCAGGCCCAGUCAGCAUGGGUUUACGAAAGGCAGAUCCUGCUUGACAAACCUGAUCUCUUUCUAUGACAAAGUGGCACACUUAGUGGAUGAAGGAAUGGCU